rnacentral:tRNA from 1 species
GCCCCCAUCGUCCAGCGGCCUAGGACGCCGGCCUUUCACGCCGGAAACACGGGUUCGAAUCCCGUUGGGGGUG